GAUACCAAAAAUACUAAAUUAGGUAGACGGAGCCCGAAUUAUACCGAUUUGGUACAGAAUAUACUAAAAUCGGUCACACUGCAACUGGGCCCAUAAAUUAUUAGUGCGCUACAUAGACCACAGAUUAAACAAAUCAUGAGAUAAGCAUUAGCAAUUUGAGCCUUAAGUUGAGUUUGGUUCAAGUUGGGUUUAGGCACUGUUUUAUUUACAUUAAUUACAAUUUUUACAUUUUUAUUUAAUUUAUGUACAUUUUGGCUUAUUUAUGGUAGGGUCUUAACAAUGCUGCUCGACUGUGCAGGUAAACACGGAAAAUCAGAUGACGUAAUUAAUAAUUAACAAAAUGUACAAUUAUUUACACUGACUAAAAUAAGUUUUGGUAAUAUUUACACAAGAUAUUUGAACGAAAAACUGUAAAGAUCAUUAAAUCGAUCGCCACAUUUGGAGUUCCCGCCAAAAGUCCCACAGAUUAUUAUUGCGCUACAUAGACCACAGAUUAAAUAAAUCAUAAGCAUAAAGCAUUACUUUACAACAAAAUCCAUAAAUUAAGCAAUUAUAGUAGACUGUAGAUUGUAGAAUUCAAUUAAAAAUUAUUUAUAGUUCCAGGCUCCAGCCUCGAGGUGCUCGUUUUAAAUUCGAUGUUAAGGUCUUCUAUGAUAGUUUAACAAAUUAGAUGAUAAACAAAGGCCUUGGAUAUGGAAUUCAAGGCAUUCGAAGAAUAUGUGGUCUAAAGUUUGAUCGACGUGGUAUCGUGGAUGCGGUGUAAAUGUGAAUUAAAUCUGCUAUGUCCGAAUCUAAGGCGGCAAAGUAUUGUGUAAAAUCUUCUGGUUUUGUAAUUGCUGGAUUUACAAAACCAUGGCAUUCCAAUAUCUUGGUUGAUUGCAGCAUACCAAGUGCCCCUUCUCGCUAAACUUUCUUGCCAAACAUCUUUCCAAUUCUGAUUAAGUUUUGAAUUUAGAAGUGGCAGUAAAUCAAUGUACGGAAGGUUAACUUUGUCAACAGCGCUGCUGUCACUGAAAACAAUCGCAUAUACAAGGAAAUCCACAUGCUCCUUGCCUGAGACUUCUAUAUGCGAGGGCGGCCAUAAUAAUUCCACACUGUAAUUUCAUAAAGUUAGUAUUUGAUUUUGGGGAUAAUGUAGCUUGACUUAGCACUGAAUUGAUGAUUCUGUAGAGCUUUUAGAACACUCAUGCUGUCUGUGAUGAUUAACCAAAAUCUUUCAGAACAAUCUUCAAUGAAUCUUAAUACAGCAACAAUAGCAAGAGCUUCUGCAGAAAAUAUGCUCAAAUUUUCCUUUAAUUUAGUACCUUGCCUAAACUUCAAACUUGGAAUAUAGAAUGCCAUUGAAAUCCUAACCUUCUUUUUACAGCCAUCUGUGUAAAUAUGAUUAUAAUUGUGAUAUUGAGUUAUAAGAUUAUAGACUUCAUGUCGAUCUCUCAGUUUAUUGUCUAUAACUAUGCUGAUGCAUCCAUAAUACUUUCAUAGCUCUUAGUAUAGCCAACCCAGUUAUCUGAUUUAAAGGUGCUGUGCUGAUUGAUCAGAUUUAACAAGGGAGCUCAUGCAAAAGAAAGGGAUGAUUGCUUGAGAGAGGGAACUUCACAGGGUAACUAUUGUUCAGAUGGAUAAGUUUGUUAAGCAAGUGAUUAUGUCUAGAAAGUUAGUUUUUAGAUAUUGAAACCUUAAGAAUAGUAGAGGAGUGUUGAAAUUAUGGGAGUUGUUCUCAUUGCCCCAGUAAUGAGUCUCAUGAUUUUGAAUGUCUAAUUUGUGAAGAAAUUGGUUAUUUGAAGCAAAACAAAAGAAACUGUAUUCGAAGUGACUACAAACGAGAGAUUUGUAUAGAGCUAAAAGAAUUUUAGGAUCAGAGCCCUAUGUUCCAGCAAGAGACAUCAAAAUAUUCAGCGCCUUUAUAGCUCUGUCAGUUACACAAUCAACAUAUUCACCCCUGGAUAAAUUGUUAACACCCAAGAACUAAGAAAAAGGAGGGCUGCAAUUACCCGGACUGUGAAGGCUUACAAUAGUUAAUUCCUUGCAAUUUGAAUAUUUCAUUCUAAUGGCUAUAUUUUGAAGGGAAUUAUCGUAAACAGUAUUAACAUUAGAGUAAGAGAUAGAUCUAUGUACAAGUAUGGCUACACCAUUGUGAGAGUUUCCUCAGUCUAGUCUUACUACAUUGUAAUUAAGCAAUUUAAAUUUAUGAUGAGGUAUAAAGACUCGCAAAUAAUGGCCAAAAUGAUCCAAAAGAAAAUGGUUGAAAAUAUGUUGAUUGUGCAAUAUACUCUGAACAUUCCACUGAACUAUAUUUAAAGUAUCCAUUAGGAUAUAAUUGAAGAUUUCUUACCACAAUGCUUUUUGAAGGUAUCUUUUAUAGUUUCGGAGCAAUUUUUUGAAUCAUUGGUCCAGUUGAGGGUGAUUAAUU